rnacentral:rRNA from 1 species
CUACGGGAGGUGCAGUUAGGAAUCUUUUACAAUGCGCGCAAGCGUGAUAAAGCGAACCAGAGUGCCAUUCCAUAUGGGAUGGCUUUUGCCAAAUGUAAAAAGUUUGGCGAAUAAGGACUGGGAAAGACCGGUGCCAGCCGCCGCGGUAAUACCGGCAGUUCAAGUCGCAGUCACAUUUAUUGGGUCUAAAACAUCUGUAGCUUGUUUUGUAAGUCUUUUGUAAAAUUCUGUAUCUCAAAUACAGAGCUGGCAGAAGAUACUGCAAAGCUAGGGAUCGGAAGGCGUAAGGAGAACAUAAAGGGUAUCGGUAAAAUGAGUUGAUCCUUUAUGGACUAACGACAGCGAAGGCACCUUACGAGUACGUAUCUGACAGUAAGAGAUGAAGGCUAGGGUCGCGAAACGGAUUAGAUACCCUUGUAGUC